rnacentral:rRNA from 1 species
CCUACGGGAGGCAGCAGUAGGGAAUCUUCCACAAUGGGCGAAAGCCUGAUGGAGUAACGCCGCGUGGGUGAAGAAGGUCUUCGGAUCGUAAAACCCUGUUGUUAGAGAAGAAAGUGCGUGCGAGUAACUGUUCACGUUUCGACGGUAUCUAACCAGAAAGCCACGGCUAACUACGUGCCAGCAGCCGCGGUAAUACGUAGGUGGCAAGCGUUAUCCGGAUUUAUUGGGCGUAAAGGGAACGCAGGCGGUCUUUUAAGUCUGAUGUGAAAGCCUUCGGCUUAACCGGAGUAGUGCAUUGGAAACUGGGAGACUGGAGUGCAGAAGAGGAGAGUGGAACUCCAUGUGUAGCGGUGAAAUGCGUAGAUAUAUGGAAGAACACCAGUGGCGAAAGCGGCUCUCUGGUCUGUAACUGACGCUGAGGUUCGAAAGCGUGGGUAGCAAACAGGAUUAGAUACCCCAGUAGUC